rnacentral:rRNA from 1 species
UACGGGGGGGGCAAGCGUUGUUCGGAAUUACUGGGCGUAAAGAGCGUGUAGGCGGCCAGGUAGGUCUGCUGUGAAAACUCGAGGCUCAACCUCGAGACGUCGGCGGAAACCAUCUGGCUAGAGUCCGGAAGAGGAGAGUGGAAUUCCUGGUGUAGCGGUGAAAUGCGCAGAUAUCAGGAAGAACACCCGUGGCGAAGGCGGUUCUCUGGGACGGUACUGACGCUGAGACGCGAAAGCGUGGGGAGCGAACAGG